UACGGAGGGUGCAAGCGUUAUCCGGAUUUACUGGGUUUAAAGGGUGCGUAGGUGGGUUGGUAAGUCAGUGGUGAAAUACUUUCGCUUAACGAAGGAACUGCCAUUGAUACUACCAGUCUUGAAUACAGUGGAGGUAGGCGGAAUGCGUCAUGUAGCGGUGAAAUGCUUAGAUAUGACGCAGAACACCAAUUGCGAAGGCAGCUUGCUACACGGUUAUUGACACUGAGGCACGAAAGCGUGGGGAUCAAACAGG
rnacentral:rRNA from 1 species